rnacentral:rRNA from 1 species
GCUCGAGUGGCGAAAGGGCGAGUAACACGUGAGUAACCUGCCCUUGACUUUGGGAUAACUUCAGGAAACUGGGGCUAAUACCGGAUAGGAGCUCCUGCUGCAUGGUGGGGGUUGGAAAGUUUCGGCGGUUGGGGAUGGACUCGCGGCUUAUCAGCUUGUUGGUGGGGUAGUGGCUUACCAAGGCUUUGACGGGUAGCCGGCCUGAGAGGGUGACCGGCCACAUUGGGACUGAGAUACGGCCCAG